rnacentral:rRNA from 1 species
UGGUGGAGUGAUUUGUCUGGUUAAUUCCGAUAACGAACGAGACCUUAACCUGCUAAAUAGAGACGCGAACCUGCGUUCGUGCGCUCUUCUUAGAGGGACUGACUACGUUUAGUGGUCGGAAGUUUGAGGCAAUAACA